rnacentral:lncRNA from 1 species
GGUGCACAACGGUUGCGCCAAAAACGGUGUAAAAAUGGCCAAGGCUUUACCAUACCGAAAAUCGGCCGAUUUUUAACCAUAUGAGAAACGUCCCGAAAAUUCACAAAUAACUACUAGGAGGCCUCACUCUGAGUAAUAUUAAAGUUUUCUCCCGCAAGAACCGCUGGGAGAUGCCGAGACUCAGUUUUUAUUUUCGUCCCAAUGCUUUUCUUCCCAUGGACUAGUUUUGUUUCUUUGAUCUUGUGCAACCUAUUUAGACCGAUGAUAGUCAGC